rnacentral:rRNA from 1 species
GAUGAACGCUGGCGGCGUGCCUAAUACAUGCAAGUCGAGCGAACAGACGAGGAGCUUGCCCCUCUGACGUUAGCGGCGGACGGGUGAGUAACACGUGGAUAACAUACCUCUAAGACUGGGAUAACUUCGGGAAACAGGAGCUAAUACCGGAUAAUAUAUUGAACCGCAUGGUUCAAUAGUGAAAGACGGUUUUGCUGUCACUUAUAGAUGGAUCCGCGCCGCAUUAGCUUGUUGGUAAGGUAACGGCUUAGCAAGGCAACGACGCGUAGCCGACCUGAGAGGGUGGUAGGUGAGAUGGGGACUGAGAUACUGCACAGACGACUGCGGGAGGCAGGAGUAGGGGAUAUUGAAAAGUGGGCGAAAGGCUGAGUAAGGGAAGACGAGUGGAGGAUGAAGGCGUUCGGGUUGUAAACUUGUUUUGCUCUGAGAAAGGCAUGCCAGUGGGUGUAUUGAGUGUAGGGGUUGAUUAGAGCCGGCUAACUACGUG